AGAUUGAACGCUGGCGGCAUGCUUUACACAUGCAAGUCGAACGGUAACAGGGAGCUUGCUCCGCUGACGAGUGGCGAACGGGUGAGUAAUAUAUCGGAACGUACCCAAGAGUGGGGGAUAACGUAGCGAAAGUUACGCUAAUACCGCAUACGAUCUAAGGAUGAAAGCAGGGGAUCUUCGGACCUUGUGCUCCUGGAGCGGCCGAUAUCUGAUUAGCUAGUUGGUGAGGUAAAGGCUCACCAAGGCGACGAUCAGUAGCUGGUCUGAGAGGACGACCAGCCACACUGGAACUGAGACACGGUCCAGACUCCUACGGGAGGCAGCAGUGGGGAAUUUUGGACAAUGGGCGCAAGCCUGAUCCAGCAAUGCCGCGUGAGUGAAGAAGGCCUUCGGGUUGUAAAGCUCUUUUGUCAGGGAAGAAACGGGAGUGGCUAAUAUCCAUUCUUAAUGACGGUACCUGAAGAAUAAGCACCGGCUAACUACGUGCCAGCAGCCGCGGUAAUACGUAGGGUGCAAGCGUUAAUCGGAAUUACUGGGCGUAAAGCGUGCGCAGGCGGUUUUGUAAGUCUGUCGUGAAAUCCCCGGGCUCAACCUGGGAAUUGCGUUGGAGACUGCAAGGCUAGAAUCUGGCAGAGGGGGGUAGAAUUCCACGUGUAGCAGUGAAAUGCGUAGAGAUGUGGAGGAACACCGAUGGCGAAGGCAGCCCCCUGGGUCAAGAUUGACGCUCAUGCACGAAAGCGUGGGGAGCAAACAGGAUUAGAUACCCUGGUAGUCCACGCCCUAAACGAUGUCUACUAGUUGUCGGGUUUUAAUUAACUUGGUAACGCAGCUAACGCGUGAAGUAGACCGCCUGGGGAGUACGGUCGCAAGAUUAAAACUCAAAGGAAUUGACGGGGACCCGCACAAGCGGUGGAUGAUGUGGAUUAAUUCGAUGCAACGCGAAAAACCUUACCUACCCUUGACAUGUACGGAAGCCACGAGAGAUCGAGGUGUGCUCGAAAGAGAGCCGUAACACAGGUGCUGCAUGGCUGUCGUCAGCUCGUGUCGUGAGAUGUUGGGUUAAGUCCCGCAACGAGCGCAACCCUUGUCAUUAGUUGCUACAUUUAGUUGAGCACUCUAAUGAGACUGCCGGGACAAACCGGAGGAAGGUGGGGAUGACGUCAAGUCCUCAUGGCCCUUAUGGGUAGGGCUUCACACGUCAUACAAUGGUACAUACAGAGGGCCGCCAACCCGCGAGGGGGAGCUAAUCCCAGAAAGUGUAUCGUAGUCCGGAUCGCAGUCUGCAACUCGACUGCGUGAAGUUGGAAUCGCUAGUAAUCGCGGAUC
rnacentral:rRNA from 1 species